UACGUAGGGGGCUAGCGUUAUCCGGAAUUACUGGGCGUAAAGGGUGCGUAGGUGGUUUCUUAAGUCAGAGGUGAAAGGCUACGGCUCAACCGUAGUAAGCCUUUGAAACUGGGAAACUUGAGUGCAGGAGAGGAGAGUGGAAUUCCUAGUGUAGCGGUGAAAUGCGUAGAUAUUAGGAGGAAUACCAGUUGCGAAGGCGGCUCUCUGGACUGUAACUGACACUGAGGCACGAAAGCGUGGGGAGCAAACAGGAUUAGAUACCCGCGUAGUCCCUGAG
rnacentral:rRNA from 1 species